rnacentral:lncRNA from 1 species
AAAAAAAAAAAAAAAAAGGAAAAAUAAAAAAGGAUUCGCUAAACCGAUUAUUUUUCUUUCAGAAAAUAGAAACCAUGUCUGGCUCCCGAGUUACCAUCAGGGGGCGCCCUUGUGCAAGGCGCUGGGCACGCAAAGCCUUCGAAGGCUCCAGGGUGAAGGAGGUGGAGCCCUGAGAAGCCAAGAAGGUCACCCACGUUCACACAGCUGGAAAGCACCGCUUAGGGCAGAAUUGCUAUUCCGAGUGCCAGCACAUCCCUUGCUGUACCAAAGCCAAGGAGAAGAGUGAGGUAAGGAAGUGGAGACUUGGAACAUUGGAGCCAUUUCACCAAGCCAUUUCAUCCGAGGACUGCCUGAGUUCCAGAGAGACGCCACCUUGUUUUGACUCUCGGGAGGUCAACAACAGGCCUGUGUAGACUCCUCAGCGCUUAUUGCAAAGCUAAGAGGUCUGCCUGCGGCAGAGCCUCCAGGCCCAUGUUCAAAGGAUGACAUAAGUCCUGGUCGCCUCUGUCUGUGGAAGGAGCUGAUCUUCUCUCCAGCCUCGCCACCGGUCCCCAAAUGCAGGCCCAGUCACAGGGUUGUGCAGUGGGGGCAUACUGAGAAGACCCACCCUGGCACCAAUUACUAAUGGAGGCUUUGCUGCACCCCACCCACCGCUGAGCUUCCCUAGACAGGUUCCAAUGACAGUCACAGCAGCUUGACGAAGAAUGCUAUCAAACCCAUUUCAUAGAUGAGGGAACUGAUGCUAGGCAGUGUCAUAUUUCUCAUCUAGGGCUACAAGUCAGAAACUGGGAUCAAGACCAGAGCUGUAGAUUCUAAAGCCAGUGUCAGCCAUAUCGUAUGUGCCUGAGGCUGUCGUGUUGGGCAGUGUCUCACCAAACCCCUCUGCUACCCCAAUCACUUUCUCACCUCCACCCUCAGCUUCAAACCAUUUUGAGGGCAGGCCACACCCCGUGGCUCUAACACACUCAAGAGGAGCUGGCUGCACAUCUCUAUGGCAACAGGAUCCUAAACAGCCAGUGCUGAGUUUGCCCAGGCCUCUAAGGAAUGGAGGUGGCCUUUGCCAACGGAGGCCCCCAGGUGUCCCAGGCUCUGAGCAAGUGUGAUUCAGGGUUCCCUCGGGCACAUCAACCUCACACACUUCUCCAUCUCCCCAGCUCCCAUGCAGAGCCGUGGUCCCAUUCCUCCCUCUGUAGUCAGGACAACCAUCCCUGCCUCCUUUCCCCAGUCCUCUCACAGCUUACUAACCAUCUAAUUUCCAUCCCUCAGAAAGCGGCUUCUUCUGGGGUGGGGCCUUCUCUCCCCUCCCCCGUGGCGUCAUCUGGAGAAGAUUUCAUCCCUGGGGAGCCCAGAGGUCAAGGCAAUCAGUGAUCUGUAUCCCAUAGACACUCUCUGGUCUGGAAAGAACAUUUAUCUUUCUGCCAGUCCAUUCACCACUCACUCAUUCAUUGAUUCACCACUCAUUCAUUCAUUUGUUCAUUCACCACUCAUUCAUUCAUUCAUUCAUUCAUACACUCACUGAUUCCUUAGCUGGGUGCCUCACUGUUGUAGGGGCUAAAGGCAGUUGCUAGAAGCAGCAGAACCCCCUUACCAGGGGUCCCUCUUUCCAGGAACCUGCACUUCCUGACAUCCAAAGCAAAACUACAGGCAAACUGGGUUUGAGGCUGAUUUUUCCAGCUCCUGACUCUGGCUGACCUUGAGCUAGCAGCCUCUGCUCCCCAUUUUAAAACAAGGCUGUAGGGUCUAAUUCUGUGUUCUAAGCCCUCAGAAUCCCCCCUUCCUCCGGUACCAGGAACUUAAGAACAGGAACAACACAACCAUGUCUGUCUCACAUCUGUGCGAGCCAGCACGCUCCGGCUCACGUAGACUUGACAAUUGUCCCAUGCACUCUAAAGACCAGUCUGGGAUGACAACUCUAAGAAGCCAUAGGAAAAGCAAUCAAGUCUUUAGAGUUGACCAGCACAGCAGCAUCACAGCACAUGUGCGCCCACACCCACACACAUUCUCUCUCCCUCCCUCUCUCUCUCCCUCUCUCUCUCUCUCUCUCUCUCACACACACACACACAAAUAUCAAAUGCAUACUUGCAAAUAUAAUAUUAACUUUCAAGAAUUUAACUGAGUCUAUUUUGGUUGCCGAAGUGGAACAGUAACAACCAUUUGCAUGGGGCCUGUGCUUGCCUCACCGAUGAUUAUUUAAGAUUUCUGCAGAGGUAGAGGCUGUUAGUGUCCCAUUGGAUGGACAGGAAAACUGGGACUAUUGAUACAGGGCUGGGAAGUAGCAGAGCUGGGCUUUGAACCGAGGCCCACAACGGCCCAUGCUCUGGCUGCUACCAGGAUAGAAUGAUGAGGUGUGGUUCCCUCUUCCAAAGCCUAUGAUGGAGGUGUGUGUGGGUGACCAGAUCAGCCCCUCUCCUGGGAAGUUGGAGGCUGAUGGUUUCUGCGUUCUUGGACAAUUGCAGCGGUGAUGCUUUGGGUGAAGCCAAACUUAGUCAUAUAGGAUCUAGGAAGUCCAGGUUUAUAUUCAGCCGAGAGUCGCCAGUUCAGCAUGCAGGGGUUCAGCCAGCUCUUUACCUCAUAGCACCUGGGUUUGGUAGGCAGGUGGAGGAAGCCCAGAGUCUGAAAUGUGGCAUGAAAACAGCCACACCUAUGGCCCAGCCAAUGACCUUGUACUUAAGUAGCCUGGUCUGAUUUUCAUGGAACUGUAGAGGAAAUCCUGCGGGUCCAUGAGAAUAUAAACCAUGCCUAAGCUCCAUCCCCCAAGCCAGCAAUGGGGUCUCCUCUUCAGAGAGGCUCUGGGCAACCUAAGCCUGCAUAAUCAGGCAUCCUUGGAUCAGCACAUCAUCUACCCUUUUAUGAAAUUUGAAUAUCAGCAUUCUUCUUCUGGGCUUGUGCGACAGAUAACAAAGUGCUCAGCAAAGGCUAGGUAUGUUGAACUAUCUUCUCCCUUCCAAGCUCUUCCUUCUGGUCAUGAAGUAGCCUAGUAAGUCUUAAACCCCUCAGAGGAGGGAACUGUUGAACUGCCUCAAAUCACGAUUCCUUGUUCCCACGGGCCCUACUUGAGGCGCUGUAGAAAGUCAGCCCUGGGGCUGAACGAAUGCUCUUAACCUUGAUGCUCUUGCAGAAGGUAGGAGUUUUGGUUUCCAGCCCCCAUGUGGGGCUGCUCCCAAUCAACCUCAACUCUUGGGGAUCGGAUGUCCUCUUCUGGUUACCAUGAGCACAGAUCUGCAAGCACACAUGUGUGAGCAUGCACACACACACACAUACACACACACAACCUAAAGCAAGCACACACACACUAAUUGCGUUUGGUUCUGUUUGUUUUGUUUUUGAGAUAGAGUUUCUUUGUAUAGCCCUGGCUGUCCUGGAACUCACUCCGUAGACCAGGCUGGCCCCGAACUCUGUCUGCCUCUGCCUCUGCCUCUGCCUCUGCCUCUGCCUCUGCCUCUGCCUCUGCCUCUGCCUCUGCCUCUGCCUCUGCCUCUGCCUCUGCCUCUGCCUCUGCCUCUGCCUCUGCCUCUGCCUCUGCCUCUGCCUCUGCCUCUGCCUCUGCCUCCUCUGCCUCUGCCGCCUCUGCCUCUGCCGCCUCUGCCUCUGCCUCUGCCUCUGCCUCUGCCUCUGCCUCUGCCUCUGCCUCUGCCUCCUCUGCCUCUUCCUCUGCCUCUGCCUCUGCCUCUGCCUCUGCCUCUGCCUCUGCCUCUGCCUCUGCCUCUGCCUCUGCCUCUGCCUCCCGAGUACUGGGACUAAAGGUAUGUGCCACCACCUUUUUUUUUUUUAAUUAAAGAAAGCAUUUAUUUAUUUUAUGUGUAUGAGUACAUUGUAGCUGUCUUCAGACACACCAGAAGAGAGCAUCAGAUCCCAUUACAGAUGGUUGUGAGCCACCAUGUGUUUGCUGGGAACUGAACUCAGGACCUCUGAAAGAACAGUCAGUGCUCUUAACCACUGAGCCAUCUCUCCAGUCUGUGCCACUACCUUUUAAAAUAAAAUCUACAGACUCUUUUCUCUCAUAGCCUGAAGCUGUAGGGCCUUGUAGAGCCUCUGAGCUUCAGAAAGCACUACAUUUAGUCUCAGGUGCUAAAUGUCAUAGACAGCUGUGGACUAGUCUGUAAUUGGGAGACCCACAGGAACAGUCAUGUAAAGUGGAAGCUGUCAUUUAAGCAGAACCUGAAGACCAAGCCCCACCUCAUUCCUCUGGGUCUGGUGGGUCUAGGGCCUCUGAGCACUGUUGUUGUACGUUCUUAGCCUUGCUUCUGAUUGGGCCCUCCUCACCCUUCCUGUGCCCUCAUCCUGACCUCUCUGAUAAGACCCAGGACUAAAGAUGUGGCCCCCACCUCCAACUCCAAACUAGUAUCUGUCCUUCCCAUUGCCCACAGACCCCUGGGAAUCAGCCCCUAAUUGCAUCUCAGGCUGGGAGGCUAUUAGCCUGUGAUUGAAUCCCUGGUGUCUCCCAUACCCCCUGGGUGUCAGUUCUCAGCUUCCAUGGGGGUUUGAGAUGGCAUUGAGCUAUAAUUUAGGACCCAGCUAGCUUGGCUCCCCACUACUCUCACCCCAAGCCUUCGGUAGACUCCUCCAAGGAGCUGGGUUCUCUACCAUGGGCGAGUCAAGGGUUUGACCGUAUAAAAGAGGGUUCCUGGCCUGUCAAAUACAGAACACAUCCCCAUGCUCUCUUACAUCUGCUACCGUGGGAAUCUCAUGGCGUCUUCUUCUCCCUGUUUUUUAUGCCUGGUCAUCUACUGCCUGAGCCUUUAGAAUAGAGUACUUCAUCUGCUUUGUCUAGCCUGCUCCUAGCAGGACUAGUUGGCAUUUUGAUAAAUCCUGGGGUUUCCUCCAUCAAUGUAUUCUGAAUGGUGGACAUGGUGCCAAGCAAGGUGCAUGCCAGCAAGGCAAGGUCUGGCCUUCCUGGCAGCAGUACAGCCACUGGGGGUAAGAUAGAAGAGUCACAGAUAGCAGGGCAGUGGUGGCGCACGCCUUUAAUCCCAGCACUUGGGAAGCAGAGGCAGGUGGAUUUCUGAGUUUGAAGCCAGCCUGGUCUACAGAGUGAGUUCCAGGACAGCCAGGGCUAUACAGAGAAACCCUCGAAGAAAAGAAAAGGAAAAAAAAAGAAAAAGAAGAAGAGUCACAGACUGCCUGGAGGGUCUGAUGGCCAGCAGUGGCCCAUGGGAACUCAGAAGAGGAAACUUUUCUAGCUUGUAUGAGUGGAAUGAGAAUGAGUAGGGUGCCUGGUUUCUGAGGUAAGGGAUGAGGAAGACGAUUCUAUUUACCCAAGGAUACAGUGUGGGGGCUGGAUAAGGAAACUGUUCCAGACACAGGGAAGAAUACAGGAAAGAGGCCCUGGAGGAGAGUGAUGGCAAGGGUAGAGGCUGGAGGCUGGCUGAGGCCCUGUUUGAGGACUUUCACUUCAUCCAGAGGGCACAGAAGAGCCAUAGGAAGUAUUGGGACAGGAGCACGAUACAGUGCCAUAUGGAGAAAGAAUUGGGGGCCAGAGGGGUGAAGGCGGGAGACCUUCACGCAGACUCCCAGCCAUCUGUCUUUCCUCCCCCACAAGUGGGAACAGCCCCUCUGUCCCCGUUAAAAAAGGGAAGUGGGACUUCUUUGAUCUUCCUUCACUCUUCUCCCACAGUUCCUGACUCGAGCACGGGUGUGCACGCAGACACACACAGCAAGACCUGCUGUAGAUCCUUUGUUGGGGGAAGGGCAGAGAAGGCUUGAGGGGAAGAUGACACAGAGCCAUCUGCCCCUCCAGAGCUGGAAGGGAAGAGGUCUGGAGGUUUCAUGCCUGGGUGAAGCUCCAGUCAGUGGACCCACUCCAUGACACUUGGCACAGUUACACCGUUGUCCCCUAAAGGAUUGAUCUCUGUCAGAGCUACAGAGACUGGAGCUAAGAACAUCUCCAGCUCACUCGGCAGCUCCCGCAGCCUUGGGAUCCACCCUCUCCUAGGCUCCAGCAGCCUCCAGAUCUGUCCUCUCUGUGCAAGCCCCAUAUUUGGGCCCUGAAAGAUAGCCCCACAGGGGUGGGUGCCCUCAUUAGACUCCAUGCAGCAACCAUCAGACCACAGCUCUACCUGCGAGGUCCUCUGAAAAGCAUCUGUCCAUUGUUGUCAUCUCUACAGCAUCCUCCUUGCUCUUUCUUCUCCCAGCCUCCCCCUCCCCCCCUGCCCCCUACACUGCAGCCAUAGCCACAUACCUGUAAGAAAACUCCAGUCCCCACUCUUCUCCAUGUCCUUCCAAGCCUCCGCACUGCCCUCAUAGUGAGACUCAAAUUCCUCCUGCGGAAUACAAGGCCAGUCUGACCUCAAGACCUGACUACAGCAUCCUCACUAGUAGCGGUCAUCCAGCAGUUCUGGGCCUCGGGGGGUCUGCCUGUCCUUUGGCACAGCCCCCAUCACUUAGUCCCAUCAUCUCUUUGUUCCUCAUGUUUCAACUCCAGAUGUGAGAAGCCUCUGACCACCAUGCAGAUGCACCUUUACAGCCGGAGGUUCCUUUCAGACCAGGCUGGCUGUGAACUCAGCAAUCUGCUCGCCUUUACAUCCUGAGUCCUGGGAUUAAAAGCCUGGACCACUAACACCUGGCUUUUGAAAGGAGAGACUUUGUAAAGAAGAGAAACUAGACAUUGACAAGCACCUAGUCUUGAGGGCCAGUGAGAGCAGAGGGGAGUACCCUGCCAGGUAGACAGAAAAAUGGUUCUGCUAAGGGCAGGGAAGUGGAAAGCACAGGCAUGGCUGGAAAAGCACGUGCUCAUGAAUAUAUGAACCCACUGAUGGUUUUUUAAAAUUGCGUGCAUGCGUGUGUGCAUGGGUGAGUUUUCAAAUACUGGGAGUCAAACCCAGAAUCUCCCACAUGCUAAGUCAGUGUUCUGGCUCUGAGCCACACAUUUGUGUAUUUACAGGGUCAAGGGCUAAUGGGUUAUCUGCAAAGUGGGUCUGAUACAGAGGCCAGUUUAGCUCUGUCUCUCAUGUGUGUCUCUCUCACCAGGCACCAUCUACAUACUUGUAGAGUUCUACCAUCUAGACUCAAGCUUAGAAAGCUUAACACCCGAGGUUAUGUAGCCAGAAAGUGACAUAGGAGAAAUCUUUCCAAUGGCUGAGGUAGGGGCUUUGAGGUGGGGCCCUUAAGCUACGUGAAGUGUAUCUGGUAUGAAUGAAAGGCUAUUCAUUUUUCUAGAAUAUUUGUCAGUCCAGGAAAAUCACCAGGGUUCCCUCUGUCUCAAUCAGAAGUUCCACUUCUCCGGCCAAGGGGCUAAGAUCCCUGGGUCCCUGAAGAGGAAAUAGACCAUGUAUGCACCGCAAAACCAUGCAGGAGGGACGAAGGAGCCAGCCUCUGGGGAGUCCCUUGUUAACACCUGUGUCCUUCUGAGGCAGAAGUCUAGGGGUGGAACAUCUCUCAACAUCACACCAGAGGAUUUCAACAGAAAAUAGAAUUACAAGCUGGUGUCAUAAAAACCCGGGACUUUUCCCUUCUCAACCAAGAGGCAACUGAAAGCGGAGCAGGAAAGUGUCAGAUUCUGCAAGCGCAGGCUGCGGUCUCUCCUGUUCUUCCCAAUUCCCUGCAUCUUUGCUGAUGAAGUCCUGCUCUAGGCUGCCAGGCCAGCCUCUAAGGAUCAGAGCAACACUCAAAGGCCUGCACUGCCCAGAAAUGAGGAGGAAAAGAGCUCAGCCCCGCCCAUACUGGGUGCCAGUGGGGAUGGGCAGCUCAACUUGUGUCCAGGAAAUCUCGUCUGUCUCUUAUCGGGCGCGUGGUCUUUGAUAAAGCAUUUCGGGACAGGCAUAGUGGUGACUUCCUGUAAUUCCAGCAUUUGGAGAGCAGAAGCAGAAGUAUCACUGCACGUUCAAGGCCAACCUGGUCUACACAGCACGUGCUGGGGCUAACCACUUCUAUAAAAGACCCUCUUUUAAAACAAACAAACAAACAAACAAACAAAUCAAGGAGCUGGAGAGAUGGCUCAUGACUGCUCUUCCAGAGGUCCUGAAUUGAGUCCCUAGCAAC